CCCACCCCCACCAGUGGCUCUAGUACAUGGUUUCCUUGUGCCAAAGGAGUAUACCUCCAGGGAGAGAGCACCAGGCAGAAUCUUAUCUUUUGUGAACUAGCCUUGAAAACCACACAGAAUCACUCUGCUACCUUUGCAAAAUGAGAAGCAAAUUGCUAAGGCCAGCCCGAUAUUUAAACGGAGGGCAACUAGACUCCACCUCUUGAUGGGAAGUGUUUCCAAGAAUUUUCAGACAUGUGCUAAAAUCAUCAUACCUCUGCAUUGAACGAUACAGAGGCCCCAUCCUAAUAUGUGUGUGCUUGCUAAUCAGGAAGAGUUUGGUAGAAAAUCCCAGACUGAGAUACUCUUGGAAUUCUGGGAGUUAAGUCUCCUGAUUUUAACAUUACCUGCAACUGAAUGUUAUCCCCUGUAAUCACUUGGGAAACCUUUGCCUACCCUAUUGCUUUUGAAUCCUGAGGUGAUAACUGCCCAGAGUCCCAUUUGCCUCACAGGAAACCACGUGUUAUAUAGAGGAGUGACGCUCUAUGCCUCUCAUUAGCUUCCUGCUUCCCAAAGCCAGGCAGCCACUGUCCCAAAGGAAAAAUAAUCUGCAUCAAGUAGCUAAGAAGAACCCUUUCCAUCUCUAGUCUCACUAAGGCUUGCUAAUGCUUGGAUUUGACUUAACCUAGGUAAGUAGCAUUUUAAUGCUAAUUUGUAAAAACGCUGCUGUGCCAAAGAAUUAAAUAAGCAGUCAUAUAGCUUUAAAUGUUUCACAAGAAACUAAAAUAAAACCUUUUGGGACAGGCAAUCAAGUUUUCCACCCCACCUCAUCCAAGGCAAAAAGAACUCCCUGGUCUACAAGGUUUUGAUUGUGUAGAAUGUAAGUUUCGGCCAUAGUUGGGAUAGUAUACAGUCAAUUUUCUAAAUGUAAAGAAAUGCUUGGGGGACAGGGAUUUUCAUUUACAGGCUAACAAAUGAAAAUGUGUAUGUGGGUGUGAGAGCCGGCACAGGAAAGUGAGAUAUUCCACCCUUGAAAAUGAUGGGAGUCCCCUUUUCUGUAUUUAGACUACAUCUCUGCCGUUCAUGAAAAUCCAUGUCUUGUUCUUUUCCCCUUUAAACCCUUCUCUCUCUGACCUUCCUUUCCCCCGGCUUUAUUUAUUUAUUUUUAAAAAUAAUUGAGUCACAUGUGAUUCAUUUCUAAAGCUUAAGACUUAUGCUCAAACACAAAUCCCAUUGUUCACUUCCUUAGGGAGAGUGAGUUACUCCAGAGGAAAAAAGUAGAGAUUUUGUAUAUGUUUUUGAUUCUGUGAAUUUAUAUUAUAAUAAAUUGUGUAGAAAAUGUGACAGACCUUUGAGUAAUCCAAAAGCACGGUAUUUUGGACCAGAAAGGAAAUGAUUGAAAUACACAAAGCUUUGGAGGGACCUGGGAGGAGAGAUUUACAUUCAAACUUUUUGCCUAAUGUCCUUGUCUUUUUGAAUGCUGAUAGUGCAUCUGUUGUUCCAGGGGACUCCUGCAACGCCACCUUAUUCGCUUUCUCUUUCCCAUUGUUAAGGAGUGUUGUUUGGAGCCUAUGUGAUUUUAACAGAGACUCAGCUAAGAUCUACCACAGAGCCCCAGGUUUGAAAUCUAAAGACAGCUGUGCCCUCCCAAGGACUCCAGCUUGUGAGAACCGGACACCAUCCUUUAACCCAAUGCUCCUUGGCCAUUGCUGCAUGUUGGGUAACCAGAAGCCCAACUCAGUACCCAGCAUCAAGAAGAGUAGGACCGAGAUGGGCAAAAGAUUCAGGGACUAAACCUGUGUGGAACCUUUUCUGCCUUUUCUAUGACAAGAUAUGUUCCUUUUAAAGAAACAAAAAUCUGCAAAUAAAUGCAAAGGCGGGGAAUGACUGUAGCUUUCAUAUUCUCUGAUGAGAAGGAGGCUUGCGGCCUCUGAAUCACUGACCAAAGGCAACAACAGAUCACCAUGAGGUCUCAGAAAAACACUGGAAAACACAACUAGUUCUUCAUAAAGCAUACAAUAGCAAUUACCAUAUUUUAGCAUAUGGAUCCGCACUGAAUUGUUUCACAGUUAUAAUUAGGUUGUUAAUGCAGUGCAGAAUUGGGCCAUAUACUAAUUUGGUAUAUACUUUCUCUAAUCUGAUGGAAAUGCAACGUUUAGAGGGCUUGGCUUUUCUUUUUUGUCAGAAACAAUUAAAAAGGUAUUUUUCAACUUAAGAACUUUAAUAUCACAUAUCACAUUUUUCUUUUUUUAAUUGUGUUGGGAUUGGGGCGGGAUGUGAGAGAGAGAGAGACAGAGAAGGAGAGAGAUUUCACCCAAAUUAUAGCUCAAGCCAUACACUUUUGUGUCUGAUUUGUUUCCAGCAAUCAUUUAUGAUUCUUUUCUUUCUUGUUUGCUUUUCCCUCCUUUUCUUUUUUGCCUUUGGUGAACUGAAACUGAAUUUUUUUUCUCCAGGACAAUUCUCGGUUCCAGUCAUAGUAAAUGCCAAUUUCAUUUCCAUCUUAUUAUUUUUCUAAUUAAACAUUUGUCAUGCAGGAGAAGAUCUGAGGUGCCUGUGCUUUCCAUUAUGUAAAAUAUUCAGUUAUGAUAAUAGGUCUGGAAUGCUAUUUUGAAGGUGUUAUGGAAAGAAAUCAGGGACAAUAAAAUAAAAUCAACUGUAUUUUA